rnacentral:lncRNA from 1 species
CGUCUUCCUCUAGAGGCUGGGAAUCUGAUUUGUGCAGUUCGUGCUUCUACACACGCUGGGAAGUUUCUUCUCGACUCCCAAGCAGCCUGUUUCCUCCUCAAACAACUGUCUGUGACGUUGCACGAUGUGUUCUUGAUGUAAUCCAGGCAGAAUUGGAAGCUUCAGCUUCAACCGCAGAAUCUCACUUUCAAGCUGUGAAUUUUCAUGCUACAAAGGUGCUUCUUCGGUUUGGAGUCUUGCUAUUUGUCCUGUGAGCUGUUCAUUUGUUUGUUUUCCUUCCCACAGUUGUCUGGCUAUUUCUUGAUUUUCCUCUUCGUACUUUGAAGGGACACCCUGAAGUCAGCAUCAUUGACACUCUUCAGAUCAACUACUGACCGGUGGAUGGGGCCAUUGCCAUCUUCUCUUUUGCUUGACUGCCCCUCUCUCUAAGGAGAUCAGAGAAGGGGAAGGUCGUCAGCAGGUUUUCAGCCUUUGAUAUCAACUUGCUGAAGUUUCUCCCUCGAGACCUGCCGCAUCCCUGCGUUCGGCUGCUCCAGCCCUUCUCUCUCCUCCUCCUUUUCCUGGACUCUCUGGUCCAUCUUGCAACUUCUUGUUUGGACGGUUCUGGACUUUCCUUCAAACCACCCAUUAUUUCCUCCUGAAGUUGUCCUCUGUCCUUCUCUGAUGCCUCGAAGAUGGGUUUUUCAUCAGUUGCUUGGGAAAAUUUAGGGGGCUGGCUCCUCUGUGCCUUUUUCAGGGAGUUGACGGUGACGUCUUGGAGUGACGACCUGCUCAGGUUUGUUUUCAUCGCCGACAAGCACAAGGUCUGUAGUGAGAGGACCGGCCUCCGCCCCAGGUGCCUGAGGGCCUCAUCGGCCUGUGUCACUGGUGCGAAAUUCUCACCACGUUCGCUGGGCAGGCAGGGCCCCCGGGCGGACGGAUGUCCCCAAAGGUAUUAACUAAGAGACCUGGAUUCCGACCCUAACAGCUCAGGAGAAAUCAACCACAACUGGCAGGUCUUAUGAUUUCCAGGACGUUCUGUGGAGCCAGUAGCCCCUGUUCGACCCGGCGUUCCUGGAAGGGGUGACUCUGCUCCAGAGGUGACAGA